UACGUAGGGUGCGAGCGUUGUCCGGAUUUAUUGGGCGUAAGGAGCUCGUAGGCGGUUUGUCGCGUCGGCCGUGAAAUCUCCACGCUUAACGUGGAGCGUGCGGUCGAUACGGGCAGACUUGAGUUCGGUAGGGGAGACUGGAAUUCCUGGUGUAGCGGUGAAUGCGUAGAUAUCAAGAGGAACACCUGCGGCGAAGGCGGGUUGCUGGGCUGACACUGACGCUGAAGCGCGGAAAGCCAGGGAGCGAAACGGG
rnacentral:rRNA from 1 species